GCCACUAUUAUCGCUUUGAUCGUGAAUCGUUAGCGUUCGUCAUUUUAAAAUGCUUGAGUUUCCUUUAUUGUUCUACUAAAAUAUUUCACUGUUUAUUCGUUGGCUUGACGUCACUGAUGUCGUUUAUUAAAUUAAAAAUGGUGUCGGUUCGUGUUUGGAAAUGUUUUCCGGUAGUAGGAGUCGGUUACAAUUGUCAUCGAAGUAAAUGUAUUAGUGGCGUAACCUGAAUCAACCAGUGUGUUAAGGAAAAUAGUGCCGUAACUUUUGCGAUCCCAAAAAUGGUAAGCCUUGCUGCAGUUCAUCACCAGUCAGAGGGGCCAUCCACAGCUGGUGUUGGACGACUUCGUCUACCUGAAGGAGAAGGUGAUAAGGGACAAGGUGCACUGGAAGUGUUCCAACUACCACGAUCUGAACUGUCGUGGGCGUGUCACGACCGUGAGGAACCAGCUGGUGUCUGCGUGUGCCGUGCAUAACCACGAGCCCCACACUCGCAAGAUCCAGUAUCAGAACGCUCUGUUGUUUUAGUCUGGCAGUGCAGUGCUUGCUGGGAACUGUGAUCAAAGUAUAAGUUGGCGUGCAGCUGGCGCACGGGCCCGAGGGCAAGUCACACCUGGUGAUCAAUGACUUUGUGUACAAGCGGGACUGCGUGCGCAAGUUCAAAGUGUACUGGCGCUGCAUUGACCACGACAGCACCAACUGCCGGGCGCGCCUCAUCUCGGGCGACGGCCGGGUGUUCACGCACGGCGAAGGCCACAACCACGGACCGCACAGGUUCAGGCCGCGCCCUGGGACCGAGUAAAGCUCUCGUAACUGCUCUGCCCCCCGGCGUUUGCAGGGAUUACCAUUUCCACGCUCUGAGGCUGCACACUGGGUCUUUCGUCAUUUCAGCUGUAAUAUUGUUCAUUUGAUUCGACAGGCUUGUGACCAUUUGUGCUACUAUGCUGCUUCUGUUUCCAUAUCUCUUGUGUGAUGUUUCUUUGACAAUAACGAGAGUCCUCUCAAUAUUUUUGUGACAGUUCGUAAACAGUGUUCCUAUGUGAAGGGUCAAUAUUUUAUUUAUAUUUUCAGUACUUCUAUGUGGUUUGGUGUUCUAGUAUAAACAUUUUAUGGUUUGCAUUACUAUAAGAAAUGGUAUUUGGUUGUUCUUUCAAUAAUAUGUGAAUGAAUAUAAUAUAUUUUUGGUUUAUUCCCUCACCAAAUAAAAGCUGUAGUUAUUGGCUAAGUUAGUUUUAUAUUUAAGGGUUUGUGAAUAAGUUAGAAGUACUUAUUGCAUGUAUAAAAUUUGUCACAACUCAUGUAAAUACUUCCUUGUAAAUAAAUGUUCUUUGUUGCAAUAUAUUUGAACCUUUUCUGUUAUAUUUUUGUGUACCUAUGUUCAUGUGCACUUGUACAUGGUUACAUAACAUAUGCAGUACAGGGAUAUGUAUGUGUAUACACACAUGAAUUUACACACAUUCACAUAGGUACAUACAUGCACACAAUUUCCUUUUUAUCCAGUUAUAAGCUCAGGGGAUAUAUGUACACAAGUUAGUUAUGUGGUUUAAGAUCUGCUUAAUAUAUUCAAUGUUGUUUGCAUAUUUAAAAUUUAGUGUUUCAUGUGGCAACUUUUACCACUGUAUGUGUUGCCAAGCCACCAGAUGUGUUGAGCAAGUGUAGUGUACAAUAUUUUUCUGGCGUAUUUUGGUUUGAUAGUGCAAGCUACGGGCAUGCACUGCCGGUGGUUAGGCACCAGCAGCUAGUGAAUGGUUUAAUUUUGAGCAGGCUUGCUCUGUUUAGGUGGACGAAGAAGAAUAAUGAAUCAACAAAGCCACAUCUAAACUAGGGAAGUCAAUCCCAAUUCUUAGGUUCAUUUGGCAUGUCAAACUGAUACAUUAAGUUUUCCUGAAAAUUUAUUGUUGGCUAUGAUGGUUUGCAGUUAUUGGUUUUGUAAACAGCAGAGAUAGUUUGUGGUAUGCCAUUUUGGAUCUGGAUUUUGUCACUUGGUGACAUUUAAUUUAUCAUUUUAAGAAAACGCGGUGACAAAGAUAACUGUAUCGCAAUCCACUCCUCAAUCAAGUUUAUGUGCUUGACUAAGUCUAGUUAGAGCUCACUUGAAGAAAUCAGACUCGUGCAAUUGUUGGUCGAGCCAGUCAAUCACAUUGAUUUACAGAUGUAAGGCUCAGUGUAAGAACCCAACACUCAGCCAACACAAAAAUACCAUGUUAUUUGUAACAGUUGUCAGUGGUAGGACGUCACCAAUUCUAAACUCUGAAUAAUAAAACCACGCUGGAAAAAAUCUUAUAGUAAUCAGAGAUAUAAUAUUUUUUUAAAUAAAGUAAAAGAUCAUUGAACUACUUGAUAUUUUUGUGAAUAUCAAAGAAAAAAAUUAAUACACAGUACAGUAUAUUUAAAAUGAGUGGCAAGAAAAAAUACUCAUGAGCAUUAUUGCUUAAAAAAAAUCUCUAAUAUAUCAUGCCUAAAAUAUCCGAAUGCAAGCUGCUCGAUUGGUGCUGGAUUACAAAUUGGAUCAACUAAAGAACGUCACAUUUCAGAGUGGAGACAUUAAUUAUAAAGUGCUAUACAUAUAUGUUAUAAAUAUUAAAAAGUGAAUGAUAAAUAUCGGUGAAACAAAAGCAAAACAGUAAAAGAAGGGGAAUGUUGCCUAGUUGAUGAUUGGUUGUCUGAUACAUGUUUAAUUUUUUCCAGCUUCCACUUGUUACGUUUUCACGUGUGUUAAAAACGCGGAAUGGAUGUGAAGAUGUAAGCGGCAGUCGGCGCGAGGCGGUGCGUGCGUCUACAGCCUGCUGUUU